GUCCUUCAGUUGCCCUCCUGCCCCACCUCCCCCCGCCACUGCGAGAAAAAUGUGCAAAGAGAAGGAAAUUUGCACAUCAAACGAGGGGCAAUCGCGGCAGUAGAUGAACUUGAUUAGGCAGACGCGUGAGAUCAGAGUGGCCGGGACCAAAGCGGACAGGGUCCAACGUGCCAGCACUGCCAAGAGAAGGCCUUUUGUACUCAGGUUAAAUAAGAACAUCCUGCAAGGAGUCUGUUCUUUUACGCAGCCUAAAGAUCAAGUAAUAAUCAUUGACACUGAUACUGAGCAUGUCGAUUUUGAAGAGACUGGCAUGAACCUUGAAGAAUCAUGUUCUUCCUAGGAAUUACAAAUCCCCUGAUUCCAUGUCUAACAUAAUUUCUACUGGCCUCUUUGCUUCUCAUGCUUUAGUAUCAGUGCUUCUGAAUCUGAAAGUCUUCAGGCAAAUUGCCCAG